GACGAACGCUGGCGGCGUGCUUAACACAUGCAAGUCGAGCGAUGAAGCACCUUCGGGUGUGAAUUAGCGGCGAACGGGUGAGGAACACGUGAAGAAUCUGCCUUCAACUCUGGGAUAACUCCGGGAAACCGGGGCUAAUACCGGAUAUGAGCCUUGAUCGCAUGAUCGGGGCUGGAAAGUUUUUCGGUUGAAGAUGACUUCGCGGCCUAUCAGCUUGUUGGUGAGGUAAUGGGCUCACCAAGGCGACGACGGGUAGCCGGCCUGAGAGGGCGACCGGCCACACUGGGACUGAGACACGGCCCAGACUCCUACGGGAGGCAGCAGUGGGGAAUAUUGGGCAAUGGAGGAAACUCUGGACCCAGCGACGCCGCGUGAGGGAUGAAGGCCUUCGGGUUGUAACCGUCUUCNGUAGGAGAAGCGAAGUGACGGUACCUACAGAAGAAGCGA
rnacentral:rRNA from 1 species